AUUGAACGCUGGCGGCAGGCCUAACACAUGCAAGUCGAACGAGUAGCGGACGGGUGAGUAAUGUCUGGGAAACUGCCUGAUGGAGGGGGAUAACUACUGGAAACGGUAGUUAAUACCGCAUACCAUCGGAUGUGCCCCGAUGGGAUUAGCUAUUAGGUGGGGGAACGGCUCACCGGGGCGACGAUCCCUAGCUGGGCUGAGAGGGUGACCAGCCACACUGGAACUGAGACACGGUCCAGACUCCUACGGGAGGCAGCAGUGGGGAAUAUUGCACAAUGGGCGCAAGCCUGAUGCAGCCAUGCCGCGUGUAUGAAGAAGGCCUUCGGGUUGUAAAGUACUUUCAGCGGGGAGGCGGUACCCGCAGAAGAAGCACCGGCUAACUCCGUGCCAGCAGCCGCGGUAAUUC
rnacentral:rRNA from 1 species